rnacentral:rRNA from 1 species
AUUGAACGCUGGCGGCAUGCCUUACACAUGCAAGUCGAACGGUAACGGGCCUUCGGGUGCCGACGAGUGGCGAACGGGUGAGUAAUACAUCGGAACGUGCCCGAUCGUGGGGGAUAACGAGGCGAAAGCUUUGCUAAUACCGCAUACGAUCUACGGAUGAAAGCAGGGGACCGCAAGGCCUUGCGCGGACGGAGCGGCCGAUGGCAGAUUAGGUAGUUGGUGGGAUAAAAGCUUACCAAGCCGACGAUCUGUAGCUGGUCUGAGAGGAUGAUCAGCCACACUGGGACUGAGACACGGCCCAGACUCCUACGGGAGGCAGCAGUGGGGAAUUUUGGACAAUGGGGGCAAGCCUGAUCCAGCCAUGCCGCGUGCAGGAUGAAGGCCUUCGGGUUGUAAACUGCUUUUGUACGGAACGAAAAGCCUUCUUUUAAUACAGGAGGGUCAUGACGGUACCGUAAGAAUAAGCACCGGCUAACUACGUG